UGCUCGCCUGGCGCGACAGAGCCCGGGCAGCGUGCGACCGCGCAUGCGCGCGUGGAGGGCCGCCCGCUGAGCCCGGCCCCGCCCCUACCUUCCCGGAAGCUGCGGUAAAAAGACUGGCGGGAAAUGGCGCUCCGGUGUGAUGAACGGAAGACCCUCGAGAACCUGAAGGAAACAUCCAAGAAAACGAGAUGACGCCCGUGUCCUGCCAGGUCCUUCCUCCAAAUACACGUUUGGUGACGUGGGGUGCUAAGGAGGUGCUGACUUUGCUCGUCGGGCUGGUGCCUUCUGGCCAGAGCUGAGCUGUCUGGGGGGACGUGGGUCCCCGCAGACUUUAGGAGGCCGUCCCUUCUGGGGGUCGGUCCUGGGAGACAGACCUGGUCCUGAGCAAAGGUGCUGGUCCUGAGGGGCCGCCACCCCCGGAGGCCUGCCCUGCUCAGCCCGGCCUGGGGGUCUCUGCCCAGCCAGGCACCCCUCCGCUCCCCUCCUUCGCCUCCCUCACGCUCCUGGGCAGAGUCCCGAGAGGACCCACAGGGCUCCUGGGGCCGAGGGGCUGGGCGGGGCAAGGGACGGCAGGCCCCAGCCCUCAUGGCCAGCCAGGACCCCCGCUGGUGGCCCGCCUGCCCCUCUUACCUGCCUGACAAGGUGGUGUGAGCCCUGUGCCAGGGAAACAACAGUGGUGACCAGGCAACUGUCUCCUAGCAACCAUGACCCAGUGGCCCAGAGGGUGGAUAGUGGCCCCCGUGCCAUGUGUGUCCACGUCCUAAGGCCCAGAAAGUGCAGUGUGACCUUACUUGGAAAAAUCGUCUAGCAGAUGUGAUUAUCUGAUGGGCCCUAAAUCCAGCGACCAGUGGCCUCGGGAGAGGGAGGGAGAGCGGAGGAGACACAGAGGCGAGAAGCCAGCUGAAGAUGUGGCAGCAGCCGGAGGGACGCGGCCACAAGCUCCCGGACGCCUGGAGCUCCAGAGGCUGGGAGAGGCAGGAAGGACCCGCCCCAGAGCCUCCGGAGGGAGCAGGUGGCCUCCAGAACCGCAUCCGGUGAGCAGCCCCUCCUCCGGUGGCGAUCAGGCCAUGGACGGACGGCAUUACCAGACAGUAUUAGACAGAAGGACCAGAUCUAACCGUGUCUGGUAAGACACCCAUCGGCAGGCUUUGGUGCAGGCAGUCUCAUCGGCGGCCCUUCUGGGAGGGCCUGCGGCUUCCCCUACCCCCUGUCCCGCCGCACCGCGAGGAAGUGGGAGGGUUCAGCGGCAAGACCCCCAGAGCCUCCUAGUCUGUGGAGCGGCCCCAGAGCCCUGGUGGCCUGGCCCAGGGCUGCUCCGAGGAGGGCUUUCCUGCAGACCCCGUCUGGGCAGCAGCCCAAACACGUGUUUGUGGGCGCAGCUGGGGAGCAGUCUGGCUUCCCUGCUCUUGAUCCCGGGUCAAGGUGGCUGCGGCACCCUCGCAGCUUUCUGAACGGCCCUCGGCCGGUUAAUGAGUAACAGCCGGGCCAGGGGCAGACCCUCCUCCUGUGGGAGAGCCACCGGGGCCCAGGGCAGAAGGGUCACCCCUGUGCCUACGCCGGCAGGUCUGGGGGCUGGUGUCCUGGCUUCAGAUCAAAAAGACAAAACAAAAGAUCAUCCCGGCCUUGAUGGUUUGGGACAACGUUCCCAGUCUCGCCUACGACACUGCGGGGGCUGGGGGCGGGGAGAGCAGCACGGAACGUCCACUGCUCCAGGCACCCGGACACACCCUUGUCCCCCGCGUCCCCAGUGGACCGAGGGAGUGAGAGAGGUGACCGCCCACGGCCCCAGCUGACUGGGACCUCUCAGGGCAGGGCCACCUCCCAGCGGUGAGUGCUUCUCUGUGCGGCUGCUGACAGGCCGCCGGCCACUCUGUGGGCAGAAGCCCAGGCCCAGCCACAGCAGAUGCGCAGGAGCCUGAAGGCUGGCGGCCCAUCUCAGGCCCUAGCAUCCCGAGUCCCUUGGGGGGCACCGAGGGCCCCGAUGUGGCAGAACCGGCCCCGCAGCGGUCGGCAGAGGCCUCCCUGGUUGGGCCGGGCUGCAGAGCUGAGACAGGCCGUCUGCCCGUCCCCCAGCUGGCCCGGGGCUCGGCCCAGCUCUGGAGUCCAGGAGCUCAGGACCGCGUGUCUUCGGGCCACUUCCCAGCAGGUGGUGGGUCACCUUUGAACAUCGUUACCAGACAGUGUUAGAGUCGAGCCGAGAAAUCCAGCACUGUCCAGUAAGAUGCCCACAGAGGCCCCGGUACGCCUCGGCCCGAGGACGCGGGACAGACGUGAGCGCCCCACAGCC